rnacentral:ncRNA from 2 species
AGUGUUCUCACUGCUGGUGGUUCGCCUCGCAUCCCGCGGGGCGGAGCAAAAGGGAACCCGGUGCGAAUCCGGGACUGCCCCGCAGCGGUGAGCGGGAACGACCGCCGUCAACAGCACUGGGCGAGAGCCUGGGAAGCGACGGCCAGUAGGCACGAGCACGUCGCCCGCGAGUCCGAAGACCUGCCACCCGUGCGCACACCAC